rnacentral:rRNA from 1 species
CCUACGGGGGGCUGCAGUGGGGAAUAUUGGACAAUGGGCGCAAGCCUGAUCCAGCCAUGCCGCGUGAAUGAUGAAGGCCUUAGGGUUGUAAAGUUCUUUCGGGUGGGACGAUGAUGACGGUACCACCAGAAGAAGCCCCGGCUAACUUCGUGCCAGCAGCCGCGGUAAUACGAAGGGGGCUAGCGUUGUUCGGAAUUACUGGGCGUAAAGCGCACGCAGGCGGUCUGAUUAGUCAGAAGUGAAAGCCCCGGGCUUAACCUGGGAACUGCUUUUGA